rnacentral:rRNA from 1 species
CCUACGGGGGGCUGCAGUGGGGAAUAUUGGACAAUGGGCGAAAGCCUGAUCCAGCCAUGCCGCGUGUGUGAAGAAGGCCUUCGGGUUGUAAAGCACUUUCAGUGGGGAAGAAAGCCUUGGGGCUAAUACCCUCGAGGAAGGACAUCACCCACAGAAGAAGCACCGGCUAACUCCGUGCCAGCAGCCGCGGUAAUAUGGAGGGUGCGAGCGUUAAUCGGAAUUACUGGGCGUAAAGCGCGCGUAGGCGGUCUGAUAAGCCGGUUGUGAAAGCCCCGGGCUCAACCUGGGAACGGCAUCCGGAACUGUCAGGCUAGAGUGCAGGAGAGGAAGGUAGAAUUCCCGGUGUAGCGGUGAAAUGCGUAGAGAUCGGGAGGAAUACCAGUGGCGAAGGCGGCCUUCUGGACUGACACUGACGCUGAGGUGCGAAAGCGUGGGUAGCAAACAGGAUUAGAUACCCGAGUAGUC